UACGUAGGGUGCGAGCGUUGUCCGGAAUUACUGGGCGUAAAGAGCUCGUAGGUGGUUUGUCGCGUUGUUCGUGAAAACUCACAACUCAAUUGUGGGCGUGCGGGCGAUACGGGCAGACUGGAGUACUGCAGGGGAGACUGGAAUUCCUGGUGUAGCGGUGGAAUGCGCAGAUAUCAGGAGGAACACCUGCGGCGAAGGCGGGUUGCUGGGCUGAUACUGACGCUGAGGCGCGAAAGCCAGGGGAGCGAACGGG
rnacentral:rRNA from 1 species